AGGAUCCAUCUGUGUGAGGCUGUGCUUUUUUGUUGUAAAUUACAGAAUCCUCUGGCUAGUGUAUGCAAAAGGAGAGGUAUAAAUGGCUACUAAUAGCUCCAAAAAAUCAUUGGGAGGGUUGAAGGUACACAAUCUAGACUGAACCUCUCAAAAGAACCGGUCUACUAAGGGAGCUGUUGCCAGCAGGGCCCCAGAAGCACCAGGCCUCUGCCAUGAUCAGGAAGCUGCUGGGUCCGUAGCUGCCCUGCCCCUGCUGGCUAUUGCCACUAUGCUUGCCAGAAGGUCCCCUCUCCCUGCACAAGGCCAACAGCUGACUUUUUUCACUCACUCCUUCCAAGACUCACAUCACUCCAUCUGCUUAGCAGAGGCUAAGUCACAUGAGGAGCUCGAGCUGCAAGUAAAAAGAAGAGAAGCUGCCUUCGGGUGGUGGAGUCUUUAACCCACUUCUCUUCUGCCGAGACUGAAAAGGAUCCAAAUCUCAUGGCAUUAAGGUCAAAGAAAAGGCUUGGCCAGCAGAGAAAGGAGAAGCAGGUGGACAACGAGGACUAUGGUUGGAAGUUGGAGAGAAGCAGCUUGACUUCAGAGGGACAGCUUGAUGGCAUAGCUUCAGAGAGGAGUCUGACUGGGGAUAGCCAGACUUCAGGGGAAGAUUACCUUCCUGCUCCAUCCCCUCUUUGGCUCCCCUUCCUGCUGAGAGCCACGUUCAUUGGCAAUAAAGUCCCCUGCAUUUACCAUCUUCAA